UACGUAAGGACCGAGCGUUGUCCGGAAUCAUUGGGCGUAAAGGGUACGUAGGCGGUUUGAAAAGUUAGGAGUGAAAGGCUAUAGCUCAACUAUAGUAAGGUUUUAAAACUGUUUAGCUUGAGUGAAGGAAGAGAAAGUGGAAUUUCUAGUGUAGCGGUGAAAUGCGUAGAUAUUAGGAAGAAUACCGGUGGCGAAGGCGACUUACUGGGCUCAUUCUGACGCUGAGGAACGAAAGCGUGGGUAGCAAACAGG
rnacentral:rRNA from 1 species